rfam:Capsicum annuum cultivar Zunla-1 chromosome 8, whole genome shotgun sequence
UGAUGAUGUUAAGGACAAUUUCUGAGCAUUCCUAUAAAUCUCUGCCAAGCUUGGUAAAGAAUUUCUACUUCAUUCUAUCUAAAACUCAGAAUUUCACUUCUCAAUUA